GCGAAGAACCUUACCUGGUCUUGACAUCCACGGAAGUUUUCAGAGAUGAGAAUGUGCCUUCGGGAACCGUGAGACAGGUGCUGCAUGGCUGUCGUCAGCUCGUGUUGUGAAAUGUUGGGUUAAGUCCCGCAACGAGCGCAACCCUUAUCCUUUGUUGCCAGCGGUCCGGCCGGGAACUCAAAGGAGACUGCCAGUGAUAAACUGGAGGAAGGUGGGGAUGACGUCAAGUCAUCAUGGCCCUUACGACCAGGGCUACACACGUGCUACAAUGGCGCAUACAAAGAGAAGCGACCUCGCGAGAGCAAGCGGACCUCAUAAAGUGCGUCGUAGUCCGGAUUGGAGUCUGCAACUCGACUCCAUGAAGUCGGAAUCGCUAGUAAUCGUGGAUCAGAAUGCCACGGUGAAUACGUUCCCGGGCCUUGUACACACCGCCCGUCACACCAUGGGAGUGGGUUGCAAAAGAAGUAGGUAGCUUAACCUUCGGGAGGGCGCUUACCACUUUGUGAUUCAUGACUGGGGUGAAGUCGUAACAAGGUAACCGUAGGGGAACCUGCGGUUGGAUCAC
rnacentral:rRNA from 2 species